UUUCUUCGGUUGAUUCGAGUGGGAGAACCGGUGGCGGGGGCUGACCGUAUGCUCCUCCGGCAUCUGGCCGGUCGGAGAAGCCCGCAGAUGGGAUUCAUUGACGCUGGUGGACAGGCGGUAGUGGAGAAGAGGGGACCCGUUUGCCAUGGGUGACCCUACCAGAGGCAUGAAGCCACAGACAACUUGGCUCCUAGGAUCAUUGUGCCACACAAAUCCCUCCACCACGACAAGUGUGAGUCUUCAGUGCGGAAGAGGAAGAAGAGGACUCGUGUUGAGAAAGAGGAGGAGGAUGCACUAACACUUGAUCGCUUGACAACCAUGGUGGGAAUGGCCAAUGAACUGCAGUGAACUGCACAAGUAUGGAACCUUUUGAUGUUUUGUUCGAUGCACUUAUAAAAUACAAUGGAUGGUGUCUUUAUAAGAAUAUUCCCGGCCAGAAGAAAAUUGAGCAAAAACAAAUACGUUUUUCACUUGCAAAAAGACACCCACACCAAGGUCUUCAGCGGAAAAAGAUGCCACAGCAGAGCAGCGCCUGGACAAAGCGUCAGGGCCAAAAGAACUGUAAAAUAUGCAUGUCGCUAUUAAUUAUUUUUUGGGGUCUCCAACCACAUAUAUUGAUCACUCAAAUUUCAUUAGUUAUUUCCCACAAAAUGAUUUGCUUGUAUAAAACACUUAUAACUGGUCUUGGAUAAAUCAGAAGAAAAGGGAU